AUGGAUAGCCGGCCUGAGAGGGUGAACGGCCACAAGGGGACUGAGACACGGCCCUUACUCCUACGGGAGGCAGCAGUGGGGAAUAUUGGACAAUGGGCCACAAGCCUGAUCCAGCAAUUCUGUGUGCACGAUGAAGGUCUUCGGAUUGUAAAGUGCUUUCAGUUGGGAAGAAGAAAGUGACGGUACCAACAGAAGAAGCGACGGCUAAAUACGUGCCAGCAGUUUUUUGUAAUACGUAUGUCGCAAGCGUUAUCCGGAUUUAUUGGGCGUAAAGCGCGUCUAGGCGGAAAAAUAAGUCUGAUGUUAAAAUGCGGGGCUCAACUCCGUAUUGCGUUGGAAACUGUUUUUCUAGAGUACUGGAGAGGUGGGCGGAACUACAAGUGUAGAGGUGAAAUUCGUAGAUAUUUGUAGGAAUGCCGAUGGAGAAGUCAGCUCACUGGACAGAUACUGACGCUAAAGCGCGAAAGCGUGGGGA
rnacentral:rRNA from 1 species